GAUGAACGCUGGCGGCGUGCUUAACACAUGCAAGUCGAACGAAGCAUUUAAGACAGAUUACUUCGGUUUGAGGUCUUUUAUGACUGAGUGGCGGACGGGUGAGUAACGCGUGGGUAACAUGCCUCAUACAGGGGGAUAGCAGCUGGAAACGGCUGGUAAUACCGCAUAAGCGCACAGUACCACAUGGUACAGUGUGAAAAACUCCGGUGGGAUGAGAUGGAGCCGCGUCUGAUUAGCUUGUUGGCGGGGUAACGGCCCACCCAGGCGACGAGCAGUAGCCGACCUGAGAGGGUGACCGGCCACAUUGGGACUGAGACACGGCCCAGACUCCUACGGGAGGCAGCAGUGGGGAAUAUUGCACGAUGGAGGAAACUCUGAUGCAGCGACGCCGCGUGAGUGAAGAAGUAGUUCGCUAUGUAAAGCUCUAUCAGCAGAGAAGAUAGUGACGGUACCUGACUAAGAAGCUCCGGCUAAAUACGUG
rnacentral:rRNA from 1 species